rnacentral:rRNA from 1 species
ACCUCGGAUCAGGUAGGGAUACCCGCUGAACUUAAGCAUAUCAAUAAGCGGAGGAAAAGAAACCAACAGGGAUUGCCUUAGUAACUGCGAGUGAAGCGGCAAAAGCUCAAAUUUGAAAUCUGACGUCUUCGGCGUUCGAGUUGUAAUUUGGAGGGAUAUCUUCGGGGUUGGCGCCGUCCUAAGUUCCUUGGAACAGGACGUCAUAGAGGGUGAGAAUCCCGUGCCUGGAUGGCUGUCCAACUCCAUGUGAAGUGUCUCCGACGAGUCGAGUUGUUUGGGAAUGCAGCUCAAAAUGGGUGGUAAAUUUCAUCUAAAGCUAAAUAUUGGCGAGAGACCGAUAGCGCACAAGUAGAGUGAUCGAAAGAUGAAAAGCACUUUGAAAAGAGAGUUAAAAAGUACGUGAAAUUGUUGAAAGGGAAGCGCUUGCGACCAGACUCGAUCUUUGGUGAUCAGCCGGGCUUCGGUCCGGUGCCCUUACCAUUGAUUGGGCCAGCAUCGGUUCUGUCGGCGGGAUAAAAGGAAGGGGAAUGUGGCUCCCUUCGGGG